GACGAACGCUGGCGGCGUGCUUAACACAUGCAAGUCGAACGGAAAGGCCUGCUUUCCCUUGUGGAUUGCGGGUACUCGAGUGGCGAACGGGUGAGUAACACGUGAGUGAUCUGCCCCCAACUUGGGUAUAAGCCUGGGAAACUGGGUCUAAUUCCCGAUAGGACUGCAGGGUGGUGCCUGUGGUGGAAAACGAUUUUCUAGUGGUUGGGGAUGAGCUCGCGGCCUAUCAGCUUGUUGGUGGGGUAAUGGCCUACCAAGGCGGCGACGGGUAGCCGGCCUGAGAGGGUGGACGGCAACAUUGGGACGGAGAUACGGCCCAGACUCCUACGGGAGGCAGCAGUGGGGAAUAGUGCACAAUGGGCGGAAGCCUGAUGCAGCGACGCCGCGUGGGGGAUGACGGCCUUCGGGUUGUAAACUCCUUUCGACCGCGAGGAAGCCACCUGGUUGGAAGGGUGGUGACGGUAGUGGUAGAAGAAGCACCGGCUAACUACGUG
rnacentral:rRNA from 1 species